rnacentral:rRNA from 1 species
GACGUAGGAUGCAAGCGUUGUCCGGAUUUAUUGGGCGUAAAGAGUUCGUAGGUGGUUUGUUAAGUCUGAUGUUAAAGACUGGGGCUCAACCUCGGAAAUGCAUUGGAUACUGACAGACUCGAGUGUGGUAGAGGCAAUCGGAAUUCCAGGUGUAGCGGUGAAAUGCGUAGAUAUCUGGAAGAACACCGGUGGCGCAAGCGGAUUGCUGGGCCAUAACUGACACUGAGGAACGAAAGCUAGGGUAGCGAAUGGG